CGUUGUACACACCGCCCGUCACACCAUGGGAGCGGGUUCUGCCAGAAGUAGUUAGCCUAACCGCAAGGAGGGCGAUUACCACGGCAGGGUUCGUGACUGGGGUGA
rnacentral:rRNA from 1 species